CAUUAUAAUAUUUACAUUAUUUAUGACGAAUUAUCUGACUGUAUAGAUGAUAAUAACAAUAAUGAAUGAUAACCCAAGAAAUGCGCAUGCGUAGAACAAUACAAUUUGGUCAUGGACGGUUGUUUUGGGAAUCACUGUCGGUUAGUUAUACGAUCGUUAAUCGAAGCUUGUCAGAACAGAUCGCCGUAACUGGCACUUGACCGACGACGUUACUGUUAGGUAACCGACACUUUUACCGCCACUUAACCGGACAUUGUAAGAACGUCCUUA